GACGAAGGAUGCAAGCGUUAUCCGGAUUCAUUGGGUUUAAAGGGAGCGUAGGCGGUCUUAUAAGUCAGUGGUGAAAUCUCUUCGCUUAACGAAGAAACUGCCAUUGAUACUGUAGGACUUGAGUACAGAUGAUGUGGGCGGAAUAUGACAUGUAGUGGUGAAAUACUUAGAUAUGUCAUAGAACACCGAUUGCGAAGGCAGCUCACAAAACUGUAACUGACGCUGAGGCUCGAAAGUGCGGGGAUCAAACAGG
rnacentral:rRNA from 1 species